rfam:Paracoccus yeei strain FDAARGOS_252, complete genome.
CAUGGACCCGGGUGCGAUCCCCGGGUGGCUCUUCCGGCCGCCGAUCCGCCGGACAACC